rnacentral:lncRNA from 1 species
UAUAGUCACUAGUUACCAGCAAAGAAUUAAGGAAACCAACAAAUUUGGCUAAAGACACAGUGAUGAAGCUAGACUUCUGGACCCCAGAGUCCAUAUUUUUUGCUUUGUGUCAUACUACUUCUGUAGCCCAUAAGUACCUCAGGAAAACUGAUUGUCCCCCUACAUGUUUCACAAGUAGUAAAAGCCAGGGACAGAGUCAUCUGUCUCCAUAGACAUGGUUGAGAAUAAGACCAGAUCUCCAGACCCUUAAUUUAUGGGCCUUUCCUUCCCCCCACCCCCCACACACCCAUCUUCCUUCCCUCUUUUUUCUUUUUGUAGUGCUGGGGAUCAAACUCAGAGCCCCAGUCCUAUUUUAUCUUAUUUUAUUUUGGAUUUAACCCAGAGGCACUUAUCCCCAGCCCUUUAUUUUUUAUUCUGAGACAGGGUCUCCCUAGUUGCUUAGGGCCUUGCUACAUUGCUGAGGCUGGCUUUGAACUUUCCAUCCUCCCAGAUCACUGGGAUUACAGGCGUGCACCACUGCACUUGGCUCCGGUCCUAUUUUAAAACCACUCAUUUCUGCAGUUAGCAGUGGGGUCACUGGUGUGGGUGUGCCCCAUGCCGGGCAGGUGGGGGUGCAUGUGCGCAGUUUUAAAGUUCUCAUUAAAAAUUUGAAGU